GGCCUAGUGGUCUAGUAGCAUGAUACCUCCUUCGGGGCGUAGAGUUCCGCGUGGGAUCACGCAAGCUUGGAGGUGGUCCUGGGUUCAAUUCCCAGCUAGGCCC